GACGAACCGUGCUAACGUUGUUCGGAAUCACUGGGCUUAAAGGGCGCGUAGGCGGCCUGUUAAGUCGAACGUGAAAUCCCUGGGCUCAACCCAGGAACUGCGUCCGAUACUGGCAGGCUUGAAUCCGGGAGAGGGAUGUGGAAUUCCAGGUGUAGCGGUGAAAUGCGUAGAUAUCUGGAGGAACACCGGUGGCGAAGGCGAGUCCCUGGACAACACCUGACACUGAGGCACGAAAGCUAGGGGAGCAAACAGG
rnacentral:rRNA from 1 species